UUGAUCUUGUGUGAAAAAUAGUCAACUUAGUCGUCUAAUACACAAAAUAGAUAUCAUCUUACUUAAAUUAUAAUUAAUUUGAAUUUUUACAGAUUUGAAGUUUUAAAUGAGACACUGAAGUUCCUGUAUGAAGUCAGCCUCGUGUGAAUAAAGGAACAAGUCGACAAGAAGAGGGGCACGUGUUGUUCCCAUGGGAAUGCCGAUUCUUUGUUGAAAUAUACGUCUUCUAAACGUAACAAAUAUGUUGUCAAUCAAGAAAUCAUGCAUCUUGUAAGAUGGUGUGCUUCAUAACAAUUUUGAAAUGGAAGUUAUCAACAAAAAACUUAACCAGCUGAAAAUUGGACAAAAAGCAUCGGCACUAUCGAAACCUGAUUAUGAACAUCAUCUUUCAAAUCAAGAGCAAGGCGAUUGAUUAAUAUUUAUUCGAUCAUCCAAUAAAACACUAUGUAAACACCAGAAACAAUCGCUAUUACUUUAUUUAGGUACAUGUUAACUGAUUCAAAUUUUAUAUAAAACCCUCGUGAUCAUAAUGUUUAAAAAAAAUUGUACUACAGUGUAGUAUCUACCAGAAACUAUUGUACGACGAUGGCGGUGCAUUAAGGAAAUACUGAUGCAAUGUUGAUGAGGGACAUACUUUGGAAGCAGAUAAAGUUAUUAAAGAGAGGCAAAAGAUACCCGUGACCUCCUUUUAUGUUAUACUUUUCGUUUGUUACUGCUUCAAAACAUAUAUUUUAUUGAGAUUAUAUUGCAUAAAAUAGUCCAUAGAAUAUUCUUAACUUGAGUAUCACUACAAAAAGGAACAUGCAUACUGUAUAUGCAUCUCAUCAUUUACACUAAUACUUGGUUUUAAUGGAAGUUUCAAUGAAUAUUACAUCCAUGUGGCUUUUUGCAAUUUCUUUAUUUAUAUUUUGAUGCAACUAAUUUUUGGCUUCGAAUUUUGUAACGACUACUAUAUCAAAGGGACAAUGCAUAUGUUGCCCAAAACUAUUAUACCACUUAUCUCUUUUAAUUGAAACAAUAGGGUUGCACACAUCACUAUCAUGGUGCUUAUCAAUUUAAAUGCAUCUAACUUUUUUUUUCUAAGAUUUAAUCUCUUAGUAUGUUUCACGAUCUUACAGAACCAGUACCGUACUCUCAAGCACAGAUACCAGUUAAAUCGCCUCUCAUGUUUGAUGUUCAUUUAAGACACAAGUUCAAAAUUGGAAGUUUACUAAAUGAAUAUUAUUGUGUUUUAAUGAAUAAGCUGUUGGUGUUUACCGAUGGUGACAAUGACAGAUUACUAAUCUUCAAUAGAGAUGGAAGUUACAACCGAGAGAUUGAACUGUAUGGCACACCGUGGUAUAUAUCAGUGAUAAAUGACAGCGAUAUCGCUGUCUUAUACAAUACUACUAAAUAUAUUAUAGAUAUAAUAAGUAUAAAAACUGGAACAUUAUCACAUAGUGUCAAAGCAAGAGGUCACAUCAGGGUGAUAUCAUUUGAAAACGGACUAUUGUUUGUUGUUACUGGGAACAUGAUCGAUGUUAUGAAUAUCACAGGUGAACCUAUCCGAUCAUUUCCCGUUCCUCCUUCACAUGUCUUACAAAAACCAAAUGUUAAAAGCAAAACAUUCCUCCCAUGCCCAACUCCUUCCUCGUUUGGAUGGAACAUAGCAAACCAUAAAAACAGGCUAUUUCUUACUAACGCCUUCAAUAAUACUUUAUGCUGCUGUGACCUGUUUGGAUCAGUCAUUUGGAUUUUUAAUGAUGAUACGAUGAAAUAUCCGUUCGGAAUUACAACAGAUGGCAAUGGUAAUGUGUAUUUGACGUGUAAUGACUCUAGCAAUGUUAUCGCUAUAUCGUCUGAUGGCAAACAUCAUAAAGAAAUACUUAACGAGGACGAUGGAUUGAGGAGGCCGUCAGGAAUUUGUUAUGACAAAUUAAAUGACCGUCUGUUAGUGUGUGACGAAGGGAAUGGUCAGGCAUUUUUGUACGAUAUUAAACAUUCAACUUAAAUCAUAUAAACUUUGAUUGAUCGAAGAUUCAGCAUGUAUUUAAACAUGGUUCCCGAUUUCGAUUAAAUCACCCAUAACUUG